UCUCUCAUCUUCCCCUCCCUCGGAACCCUAACUCAAGUUGCGCCUCCCUCAGAAAAAAAAACCCGCACUCAAGAUUUAACGAAGGAAUCAGUUUCAGUAUGAAGUAAAUCAGAAAUCCUACAUCCUCAUUGUUGAAGAAACGAAACCAAAUCUCAAGAUCUCUUCAAAAUGUUUCAAUUAAAAGUCAAAAUCGAACUCCAAAUUUCUCUUCUCGCUCUGUUUUCUAACUCUGCAAUUCGUGAAACCCUAACCCAAGUUUCGUUUGCUUCCAUUGCUUCAAAUUAGGUGGAGAUUUUUUCAUUGCUACUGCUACAGAUCGAGAAGAAGAGGAGGAUUACUCUGAAUAGAAUCUAGGGUUUUUGUGAUUCGAUUUGAAAUUGAUGAUUUGGUUUAUGAUUGUUAAUUCUGUAGAUGAGCGAAACUAUACCGAUUUGAUAAAGAUGGAAAUAAUUGGUAAGAAAGAGGAAAUGGCUUUAUUAAGCUUCUUAAACAUAAAGAAACUAAGAAAUUUCGUUUGGUUACUGGAGGUUAUUGUUCUUCCUACAAUUUUGGUUCAACAACAUACUGGGAAUGGGAGUCAGAUAUCAUGGUUCGUGCAUGCUACUGAUUUGUCUGAUGGUGAAUUGAAAGAAGAGGUGUUCUGUGUUCGAUUUAUAUACAUGGAGGGUUUCUGGGCAUUUUCCAAACCUGGAGGUCUAUGAUGUGAGAGUGCCCUUGGUGGAAUUGGUGGCUAUUCUAGCAGGGUGUAUAGGAGACUUUGGAGGUUCUAUCUAUAAUGUAGUUGGAUGUUUUAAUGGAAUGUGAAAGGCGAUAUAACCUUACUGUUUAUGGCAACCAUUUCCGCAGAGUAUGGGAUGUGGAUUUGAAGCAUGACUUCGCCUUUGUUAAUUUUUUGUUGAUGAAAACUCGCAAUUGAAGGCCAUUGAUUUUGGCUUGUCCGAUUUUGUGAAACCAGAUAAAAGGCUUAAUGACAUCGUUGGAAGUGCAUACUAUGUUGCAUCUGAAGUUCUACAUAGAUCUUACAAUACAGAGGCUGAUGUGUGGAGUAUUGGUGUGAUAUCAUAUAUGCUUUUAUGUGGAAGUUGUCCGUUCUUGGCUCGCACAGAGUCCGAGAUUUUUCUGGCCUUUAGGGCGGACUCGAUGAACCUCCUUGGCCUUCUUUAUCUUCUGAAGCCAAGCAUUUUGUCAAGCGUCUAUUGAAUAAAGACCCACAUGAACGAGUGAUGGCUGCUGAGGCAUUAAUUUAAUAUUCUCAUCUUGUUAAAAAGACUGCUGAAUUUCUUUCUUUGUGAUCCUAAUUAUAUUUCUCUUGGCAGGUCAUCCUUGGAUUAGUAACUGCAAUGAUAUUCAAGCUCAUGAAAGCCUAUAUGCGCUCAUCAUCUCUACAUAAAGCGGCGUUAAGAGGAAAGAAGAGACUUGCUGAAGUUGCUAACAAUAAGCCCACUCUUGGACAAAAAUGUUAAAGUAGAAACUCCUCAGAAGUUAGGUGCUGAUGGCAAGAAAGGUGGUGAUGUUCGUCAAGGUACUCCUUACCCCAAGGGAGGAAAGACCCCUGCAAGUGGAGGCAAGUCAAAAAAAUCUCUACUAGGUCAUUCGGUACAGUUCACAGUUGAGAACGGCAAUAGGUUUUGGUGUCUAUUAGUUUGUUCAGACACUUACUUUUUGGUGCCUAGGAAGUUUGUUUUCUUACUGGCCAUCAUAUUUGUUUCUUUGUUCAUAAUGAAUAGAAUGAUUUUGUGUAAAUGAAUUGUAAAUUGCGGAUAGUUUGCAGGCCUGUGUUUCCAGUCAGUUGUUGUAUUGCAGGCCUGUGUUUCAGGUUCAGUUGUUGUAUUGCAGGCCUGUGUUUCAGGUUCAGUUGUUGUAUUGCAGGCCUGUGUUUCUGGUUUAAUUGUGAAGGCCUGUAAACUGGAAGGCCAGGUCCAUGAUAAUGACCUGGACUAUCCAUUUU